AGAGAAAACGAGGGAGAGAGAUUUUUCUAAUCUCUGGUUUACUCCUCAAAUGGCUGCGACAGCUAGGUCUCAGCCAGGCAUGCUGUACUCUUACAUGGGUGGCAGGGACUCAAGAACUUGGAAUAUCCUCUGCUACCUUCCCAGUCACAUUAGCUGGGAGCUGAAUUGGAAGAGGAGCAGCCAGGAUUCAAACCAGCCCUCCAGUAUGGGAUGCCUGUUUCCCAAGCAGUAGUUUAAUCUGCUAUGCCAUUGCUACCCCUUGUAACAACUUUCAAAGCCUUGGCAUUUUGAAUUUCAGUUAGUGCAAUGAGUUCCCCCCCACACUCCUCACCCAGCUCCCUGAGUUCAGUCUGUGCGCACCCCUGUAGUAAGCAGAACUGCCAUGGCAACAAACUUCUGACAGAGGACAAGUCUCAGCCCUGCUGAUCCAUUCUGUGUCCUCCCACUCUGCUCCUGUCCUGUUCUCUGUGGUGCUGUCAGCAUUGGUCACCAGAGAGUUUUCCCAGGAUGACAGAGAAGGGAGCAGAUGGCUGAGCAUGGACUUCUUUGUGUCCUGUGUCAGCCCCACCUAGUCUGUCUGUGGGAGGAACUGGGCCUCUACCCUGGGUGCAGAUGAGAGGUUAAGAGACGAAACACUGUGAUUUCAGCACAGGUAUUUGAGACACAUGCAGGUAACAAUGAAGCCAAUGCUGAUAAUAAUGGCAUGGCAAGUGUGGGGGAGGGGUCAGGAGCACCUGGAAGAGCUGGGUGCUGGGGUUACUACCAGGGAAUGCUAGGGAUCCCUGCCCCAGGAGCAGCUCAGACUCCCCUAGUGCCGUGUUCCUCCAGAUCACCUCUGGCCCCUGCAGCAGUGUGGAGAACCUGCUGGGUUUGGUCCAGCUUUGUGGGCUUGCUCCUGCUGCAUUCCAGCGGCUUCUGCUCUUCCCAAUGCAGCAGAGCCUGAACUGCACUCCCUUGUGGAGUGAGCAUGUGUGAAUCUGUGUGUGUGUGUGUGUGUGUAAGCGUAUAUGUAUGACCUAGCUCUGUGGUUUCUGCUCCAGCUGGGCCUGGCUGCUCCACACAUGAGCAUACAAGUCCUUGUCACUAUCACCAGUGGCAUGAGUCUGGCAUCAGAGUUGCUGUGGAUGCUCCCCAAUUCCCCACUACACUUCCCUGGGACAUUCUAGGGGUACAGAUGGAGGCUGGCAGAGUUCUCAGCUCCAUGAUGAAGCUCAACCUCAGAUGGGAGUGGUGCAGGUAGUGUGUGAGGUGUGCCUGACUUGGUCCUGCUGAUGUAAUCUAGGGUUAAGGCUGUUUAGGAGGAAGGUGGUCGGACUCACCUGAGGAAGGUUACUUCUGUUCUUUGGGAUGUCAGCUUGUGCAUUUGGGGGGUCCCAAUCUGUGUUUCUCCACCGCUGCCAUCUUUCUGAGCCCUGCAGAAGAAAUGAAAGUGAGUCAGGUAAUGUUUCACUCCAGCCUUUGGCACCAUAACCCCAGGCCACCCUUACCUGCUCUUCAAACCUGGCCCUGUCAUUGAUAACCCCAGACUCGUUUGUGUCCUGGAAUCAGGCACACGGCCCCUCAGGGAUGUGAGGUAGCACCUGAUUCUCACUAGAAGGCCUGCUCCUUUGACCGACAGUUGUUCAGGCAUCACCAAGGAUGCUCUUAGAUCUGGAUCUCUCAAGUCUCCAUUCCAACACCCUCCUGCCUGUCAUCUCCUCUUGGCACAGCCUCUUUUUGCUCACCUGCUGUAACCACUAACCUUUCCCUGACACAGGGACCACAGUGUCCAGAGACCCUACGGAAUGAAUGUUCUCCGUGCCACAUUCUGUUUAGGAUGCACCAUCAGCUUCCUCAUUCCACAGACACCCACCUGUGUCCAUGAGCCUACCCAUGUGCCCCAUUUACUCCCUUCUCUGCCCCAUCCUGAGUUCCCAAAGAGCACUUUCUGCCCCUUCUAGAAAGUUCUCUUCAGGAGAGUGUGUGGUGAAGCAUCCUGGAACCCAGGGAAACUGCAGAGCCAUCAUAUCCACCUGCUUCGGGUUCUUUUUGACACUUAAUGUGUGCAGCUACCACUCACUGUGUUUAUCUCCUUACUUCUCUAAAGUCAAGGGUAAUGUCUUUGGGGUUUGCAUCUUAGUGCCUGAUGCAUGGCCGAAGCCUAAUAAGUAAAACAGAUUGAAACAUGUACGAUUCACAAACACGCUGGUGUCAAGUGGAAUUUUAGGCAAUAAAGAUUCCUAGGUUUGAAGUGCAAGCAUUUCUCACAGCUCUUGCUCCAAAGCUGUCAGCAGCUGGGUCCAAGUGUGAGAAGAGUUGCUGAACUGUGCCUUCCACACCCAGACCACUUGCUCAAUGUCAGUGUGUUUACUGUUAAAAUGUUCAUGCUACCCAAAGUGAUUUACAGAUGCAGUAUAAUCCCUGUUAGUAUAUCAGGAGCAUUUUCCAAAAGGUAGAAAAACACCCUACUUGAAUAUGGAGAGGUGAAGUAAUCUUGAGUGAAAAGUGGUAGGGACUAUCUGGCUUUAAAAUACUCUACAAAGCUCUGGUUAUAAAAACAGCAGGGUAUUGUCAUAAAAGCACAUACAACAAAAGAGCAGGGGUCAACAUUGUGUUGCAGUGGGUUAAGCUGCUGCCUGCAAAGCCAGCAUCCCAUAUGGCUGCCAGUUCAAAUCCCAGAUGUUCCACUUCUGUUUCAGGUCCCUGCUAAUGUUCCUAAUCCUUGGGCUCCUGCACGCACCUAGGAGACCCAGAUGGAGUCUCGUGGCUUUGGCCUGGCUCAGUCCUGGAUGUUGUGGCCAUUUGGGGAGUGAACCAGCGGAUUAAAGAUCCCUCCUCCCUUUUCUUCUCUCUCCCCCCUCCCCCUCCUUCUAAUAAAAGAAAUCUAAAGGAACAGAGAGCCUAGAAAUAAACCCACAUAUUUAUAGCCAUGUGACCUUUGCCAGGGUGCUUAGAAUGUACUUUGGCAAAACAAUAGUCUCUUCAGUGAAAAUCAUUUGGGAAAACUGGGUAUCACAUGCAUCAGAAGAAACUAGAUGCUGUCUCUCAACAUGUACAUAAAUAAACUAACAUGGAUCAAAGAUCUAAAUUUAAGACCUGAAGCUAAUGAGCUAGUAAAAACAAACACAGAGGAAAUUCUUCACUACAUUGGAAUGGGCACCCAUUAUUUUCAUCAGACCCCAAAAGCAUAGGAAAGGAAGCAAACAUAGUUGAAUGGGAUUUCAUCAAAUUAAAAAACUUCUGUAUUCCAAAGGAAGCAAAGACUAGGGCGAAGAGACAACUUACAGAGUGGAGGAAAUAUUUGCAAGGUAUACUUUGAGAAUGGAUUAGUAAUGCUAUGUAAGAAACAAAUAAAUAGCAAAAAUAACAUGAUUCUAUUAUAAUAGAAUGCACAGAUUAAGCAGAAGUUAUUUCAAGGAAGACAGAAGUGACCAUCAGGGAUAUGAAAAAGUGUUCAACAUCACAUCAUCAGGGUGAUAGAGAUCAAAUCCACAGUAAGAUAUCCAUCACCGACACUCCGGUUAUCUCGGCUGUCAUCAAAAAGACAAAAGAUAAGGGUUCCAUGUUAUAGCUCUACACAGGAGAUAGAAGUGGUGUUCUGUUUCACAGUAGGGUGACUACAGAUAAUGUACUGUCCAUUAAAAAUAUUAGAAGAUAGGAUUGUGAAUAUUUUCAGCAUACAAAAUGAAACCUGUUUGAGGAGAUAGAUUUGGUUAACCUGAUUUGAACCUGUGUAAAAACACUAUCUACGUAUCUCAAAAUACAACAUAGUACUCUAUAAAUAUGUAUAACUUUUGCCUGUUGGUUAAAAUUUUAAAAGUAUACAAAUAAUAAAAAGCCAAAGAAAAAGAGAAAAAUUAUCCCAAAGGAAGUAAGUUCAAAUAACAAUGAUCAUAAUGGACACCAUACAGUAGAAUAAUUAACAAUUUGCAAAGUUACUUGAAAUAAAUCAACAAAAUAUUAACACUAGCAGUGGAAAAGCUACUAUUUUAUUUAUUCAUCAUAUAUUAGAAUUAUAUAAGAGAAAUUAAGAAAAAUUCAGUGUAUUAAGGUAGGCCUUCAGGAUGGUAUUUCUAUGAGAAAGAAAGAAAUGAAAAUGAAAUAAAAUAAUUUACAAAAGAAUUAAAAAUCAUAAAAUACUUGAGAAUUUUAAAAAAAGAUUUAUUUAUUUAUCUGAAAGGCAGAGUUACAGAGAGGCAGAGGAAGAAGCUCCACUGAUCUGAAGCCAGGAGCCAAGAACUUCUCCCAGGUCUCCUAUGCAGGUGCUAGGGCCCAAGGACUUGGGCCAUCUUCUACUGCUUUUCCAGGCCAUAGCAGAGAACUGGAUUGGAAGAGGAGCAGCUGGGACUCGAAACGACACCCAAAUGGGAUGCUUUACCUGCUAUGCCACAGUGUCGGCCCUGGGAAAAAAUAAAAGACAUGUAAUACCCCUAUGCUAAGAACAAAAUAGUACCGUGAGAAUUUAAAGAAGAUCCAGUUGAAUUGGAGAGACAUAUGUUUAUGAUUUUAAAAAAACUGGUUUUGUGAUAUACAUUCUCCAAAAUUGAUUUUAAAAUACAUAGAAAUGCCAUCAAAUCCUUACAACUGUGUGUGUGCGCGUUCAUGCGAAAAUCCAUCUGCUAAUUGAAAAUGUAUUUGAAAAUGCAUAAUGCAUCAAAUAAGCAGAUUUUGAAAAAGAAAAAAUAUGGUGAUGUUAAACUACUGGUAUCAAAACUUACAAUAGAGCUGCACUAAUACAAAUCUAUGAGCAAAGGAAGAGAUGAAGGAGUCAAGAAAGAGACACAAGCAUGCAGGGCGUGAGAUUUCUGGUCAUAUGCUUAGGGGAACCUAGGCCUGGUUCCUGGGUACCUGCUGGGCCCAAGUUCUAAUGGGUUUCCAUGUCCACAGGGCCAGAGUCUCUGAGAGCAGCUCUUUGUGACAACCUCAGAGCAGCUGGAAGAACCUUCUGGGAAAUUCUUAGCUGUGAGGAGACAAAAAUGCAUUCUGUUAUUUAUUUGUUUACCGGACUGAGCCACAGUAUUUCUUCAUUUCUUUGAAAAAAAUUUUUUUUUCUCAGAACUAGACAGUUGGGGAAUUAAAAUGUGGUAACCAUGGAAACUAGAGUCCUUGGCAUCUCAAAAUUACUUUAGGUUGUAGUUCAUUUCUAUAGUGAGCUUAUCAAAAUAUUUUUUAAAGUCUUUAACUCCUGUGACGUGUGGUUGCUGAACUUUUUGUAGCAUUAUCUAUGGUCAUAGUGUUACUGAUAUUUUCUUAAACAGCAAACUGUUACAAACACUCCUUUAAACACGGACAUUUCUGGUGGAUGUUAUGGUCACAUUAUGAUAAAGAGUUUUCCCAGAGUUGAUUCUGAUCACGGUUUCUAACUUACUGGUUGCUCCAAUGAAAUGACAUGUCCAUGGAUCUUCCUAGAUCAAUAUUCUAUAUGGGAUCUUCAGUUCAUUUUAUGAACUUAAGGGAAGAUAAUUCUUUACUUAUGGCCUGUGAAAUAGAAAAGUUUUACUCACGAAAAUGUAGGAAGUUUGUUACAGAUUACAUACGAUUUUGAUAUUAAAAGCAAUGUGUAAUGGAACCCAACAAGAAAUUUUAAUCAGGAGUAUAUAAAUUGAUAGAACUUAUGAAUUUUAAGCAUAUUAAAUCUGCAAUAUGGAAAAUGGAAUACAGACGGUUAAGGGUAUAAUAUGUCAGGUUCUAAUAAGAGAUACAUUAAUGCAAGACUAUUAAAUGAAUCAGGAGCGUUGAAUUUAUUAUUUUCCUGUGUUCCAGAAGAGAGAUUGUUGUGUAUCAACUGCAGAAAGUUGAUAUGGAGAAGUGGAUGGAAUUGAAAUCAGGUUUGGAUGUAAAGUCAAUAAAACUAUUAACUAAUCGAGCACCUAGGUUUAUUCAAAUGUGAUGGAUGGAUAAGUUGUGUGUGUGUGUGUGUGUGGAGAGAGAGAGAGAGCGAGCGCUGAGAGGGAGAGGAAGGGUGUAUAUAGAGAGAGACACAGGCACCAAGAGCUGGAACAGGUAAGUUUGGUGCUUCCUAUUAGACAUACUUGAGCAUGUCGUGUAGGGAAGUGAAUUUAGAAGACAAACUGAAUAUAAGUGAUUUCAGCUUAGGGAGAGAUGGAUAUCCAGAUUUUAUCAGCCUCCCGAUGGUCUCUAAAGUUGGCAGACUGAGGGAUAUCCCCCAGGAUGCAAGUGUUGAUCGAGGAGACUUGUUUUGCCCUUUCCUGCAACAGAUCCAAGACACAAAAAUCAGUUACUUCUUAUAUCUUCCAGCACACGUGUCACUCCUGAGGGUAAGUCUUCCCUGAUUUUCCUGAUUUUUGCCCAAUCAGUGUUAACGUGUCCAUCUCUAAGUCCCCUGUAGACCACAAUUCAUGUCUUUGCACUGCACUCAUAGUACUGAUUGAUUCAUACAGAGAUGUUUCCAUAGCAGUCUUCCCCACACCUCUGUGGGCUUCCCAUGGGUGCUCAUGCACUGCUAGUUCCAGGAAUUCUGGUGUUUUCUGAGUGCUAAGGCUCAGCUCAGUGUUGUAUUUAGGGGGAAGAGAGACCUGAUCCAUCCCUGUGAGUUACUGCCCAAUCCUGGAGACUCUCUAUAGAGAGACUGGGAGAUGAUUACCAUGAGAUCAAGAAGAGAAUCGUGUAGGACCUUGCCAUGUUGAUUGACCCGUAUCCUUGACAUAUUCCCAUGCCUUUUGCUCACAAUGUGCAGUGGAUUCUUUAACAGCACAAUCUGUUUUGGCAGAAGUAGCCUUGGCUUGGGGACCUUGGGUGUCCAUUAGUGGCAGGCAUGGAUCAGAAGAACCCAGACCUCCUGACCUCCAGUCUAACGUCCACACAACGAAGAUGCCAAAAUUGACAUAGGUGGGUGCCGAGUGCUGCUGUAGAUCCUUGGAAAAAGGAGGUGAACCGUGAAGAAGCACAACUGCAGGAAGAGCGGUCUCGCUGGUGGAGGAGGCAUGGCAGUAGGUUCUCCAGAGUCCACAGGGUCAUCCAUCCUGGCCGGCAGGUGAGUCGCUGCCCUUGGCCACCUCCAAUCAAGUGCUCAUCAAGUUCGGUGCCAAAGGCCAAGUACCAGCCAGAGGCUUCCACUUUGUCUACC